rnacentral:rRNA from 1 species
UUGUCCUGUGACUGCGUACCUUUUGUAUAAUGGGUCAGCGACUUAUAUUCAGUGGCAAGGUUAACCAUCUAGGGGAGCCGUAGGGAAACCGAGUCUUAACUGGGCGUUCAGUCUCUGGAUAUAGACCCGAAACCAGGUGAUCUAGCCAUGGGCAGGUUGAAGGUUGAGUAACAUCAACUGGAGGACCGAACCGACUAAUGUUGAAAAAUUAGCGGAUGACUUGUGGCUAGGGGUGAAAGGCCAAUCAAACCUGGAGAUAGCUGGUUCUCCCCGAAAGCUAUUUAGGUAGCGCCUCGGACGAAUACUACUGGGGGUAGAGCACUGUUAAGGCUAGGGGGUCAUCCCGACUUACCAACCCUUUGCAAACUCCGAAUACCAG